UUAACUCAUAUUUGUAUGAAAUGGGCUCGUUUGCGUACGUUUGCCGCUAGGGGCGCUGUUCCAACUGCAUACAAAUAUGAGUUA
rnacentral:pre_miRNA from 1 species